rnacentral:rRNA from 1 species
AUUGAACGCUGGCGGCAGGCCUAACACAUGCAAGUCGAGCGGAUGACGGGAGCUUGCUCCUGGAUUCAGCGGCGGACGGGUGAGUAAUGCCUAGGAAUCUGCCUGGUAGUGGGGGACAACGUUUCGAAAGGAACGCUAAUACCGCAUACGUCCUACGGGAGAAAGCAGGGGACCUUCGGGACUUGCGCUAUCAGAUGAGCCUAGUGCGGAUUAGCUUGUUGGUGAGGUAAUGGCUCACCAAGGCGACGAUCCGUAACUGGUCUGAGAGGAUGAUCAGGCACACUGGAACUGAGACACGGUCCAGACUCCUACGGGAGGCAGCAGUGGGGAAUAUUGGACAAUGGGCGAAAGCCUGAUCCAGCCAUGCCGCGUGUGUGAAGAAGGUCUUCGGAUUGUAAAGCACUUUAAGUUGGGAGGAAGGGUUGUAGAUUAAUACUCUGCAAUUUUGACGUUACCGACAGAAUAAGCACCGGCUAACUCUGUGCCAGCCGCCGCAGUAACAC